rnacentral:rRNA from 1 species
GUUAUUCGGAAUUACUGGGCGUAAAGGGUGUGUAGGCGGCAUACUAAGUCAGUUGUUAAAUACCUCGGCCUAACUGAGGAAAAGCAAUUGAAACUAGUAAGCUAGAGGGUGAAAGAGAGAAGCGGAAUUCUCGGAGUAGCGGUAAAAUGCGUAGAUCUCGAGAAGAACACCGAUGGCGAAGGCAGCUUCUUAGUUCACAUCUGAUCGCUAAUGCACGAAAGCGUGGGGAGCAAACAGGAUUAGAUACCCUGGUAGUCCACGCCGUAAACGAUGACCACUAGACGUCAGUCUCGCUUGCGAGAUUGGUGUCGCAGCUAACGCAUUAAGUGAUCCGCCUGGGGAGUACGUCGC